UCAAACUUGGUCAUUUAGAGGAAGUAAAAGUCGUAACAAGGUUUCCGUAGGUGAACCUGCGGAAGGAUCAUUAAUGAUUUUUUAAGCAAACCAAGCUUUUCAAUAUAAAACAAGUGAGGUUUUGCGAAUAUAUUUAAAACCCCCACUCUUUAAAAUUUUGAUUUCAUUCAUUAUAUAAAUGAAUAAAAAGAUCACUUUCAACAACGGAUCUCUUGGCUCUCGCAUCGAAGAAGAACUCAAACUUGGUCAUUUAGAGGAAGUAAAAGUCGUAACAAGGUUUCCGUAGGUGAACCUGCGGAAGGAUCAUUAAUGAUUUUUUAAGCAAACCAAGCUUUUCAAUAUAAAACAAGUGAGGUUUUGCGAAUAUAUUUAAAACCCCCACUCUUUAAAAUUUUGAUUUCAUUCAUUAUAUAAAUGAAUAAAAAGAUCACUUUCAACAACGGAUCUCUUGGCUCUCGCAUCGAUGAAGAACGCAGC
rnacentral:misc_RNA from 1 species